rnacentral:misc_RNA from 1 species
AAGUCGUAACAAGGUUUCCGUAGGUGAACCUGCGGAAGGAUCAUUAACACGUAUCCACGUUUAUCAACCAACGAGAACCUGUUUUCACCUCUCCCUUUGCCUGGAAUGAACUGAGUUGUAGUGUAAGUAUUGUUUGGGUCGUAUUCGUGCGACAGCUUACCCGACCACUGGGACCGAAAUCGCAAGAGAGUAUGGCGCCCGACAGUUGAAUCCAGGUUCUAAAAGGACAAACCCCGCUUGGCUUGCUUUUGUCUCCAAACAAGACAGUGGCUUGUCAGGCAAACCCCCAUAACCUAUUUCACCCCGAAACAAUUUUGCUAGUUGACUUUUUAUAUGUUGUUGUAACGUCCUCUCGAGGGCAUUGCGGCACACGUUUAAAUUACUUGAACGUUAAAAAAUACAACUCUUAGCAAUGGAUAUCUUGGUUCUC